rnacentral:misc_RNA from 1 species
AUGAGUGGUGUUUGGUUUGUUACCGGUGGUUGGCUCUUUGCUUGUGCAACAACUUCCACCUGGCAUACCUACUCAGUUAUGCGUCAAGGCUUGUAUCGCCUCGAUCGUAUUGUUGGUUUUCUGUAUUGCAUACCUAAUCGACGGUAUUAUUUUGAUUGAUUGCAGUCCCUUUUCGUCUUGCUCCAUUUUUGAUUUGCAUGAUGAACCUUGAUGCGUGCUCUAUGAUCCAUCAUCUUGAUGCACUUGCAUUGAUGUUGUGGCGCAUUGAGCUUUGUUGGGUUUCUUGGAUACGGAACAUGAAGUGGGUGUUGGGGGGUCUUUUAUGAUCCUUUUUUGCCCUCGUAUAGUUUCCUCGAACGACGGGUCAUACGCGCCUAGGCUCGUACCUGCGUGAUGAUCGAUGUCUAAGAAGAAUGC